rnacentral:rRNA from 1 species
GGCCUAACACAUGCAAGUCGAGCGGUAGAGAGAAGCUUGCUUCUCUUGAGAGCGGCGGACGGGUGAGUAAUGCCUAGGAAUCUGCCUGGUAGUGGGGGAUAACGUUCGGAAACGGACGCUAAUACCGCAUACGUCCUACGGGAGAAAGCAGGGGACCUUCGGGCCUUGCGCUAUCAGAUGAGCCUAGGUCGGAUUAGCUAGUUGGUGAGGUAAUGGCUCACCAAGGCGACGAUCCGUAACUGGUCUGAGAGGAUGAUCAGUCACACUGGAACUGAGACACGGUCCAGACUCCUACGGGAGGCAGCAGUGGGGAAUAUUGGACAAUGGGCGAAAGCCUGAUCCAGCCAUGCCGCGUGUGUGAAGAAGGUCUUCGGAUUGGAAAGCACUUUAAGUUGUGAGGAAGGGCAGUGACAAAU